rnacentral:rRNA from 1 species
CACGUAGGGCGCGAGCGUUGUCCGGAAUUAUUGGGCGUAAAGAGCUCGUAGGCGGCCUGUUGCGUCCGCUGUGAAAGCCCGGGGCUUAACCCCGGGUCGGCAGUGGAUACGGGCAGGCUAGAGGUAGGUAGGGGAGAAUGAAAUUCCCGGUGUAGCGGUGAAAUGCGCAGAUAUCGGGAGGAACACCGGUGGCGAAGGCGGUUCUCUGGGCCUUACCUGACGCUGAGGAGCGAAAGCGUGGGGAGCGAACAGG